CCUACGGGAGGCAGCAGUGAGGAAUAUUGCACAAUGGGGGAAACCCUGAUGCAGCGAAGUCGCGUGAGUGAGGAAGUAUUUAGGGGUGUAAAACUCUAUCAGCAGGGGAGAAAAUGACGGUACCUGUCUAAGAAGCGACGGCUAACUACGUGCAAGCAGCCGCGGUAAUACGUAGGGGGCAAGCGGUAUCCGGAUUUACUGGGUGUAAAGGGAGCGUAGACGGCUAAUCAAGUCAGAAGUGAAAACCCCAGGCUUAACCUUGGGAGUGCUUUUGAAACGGAGUAGCUUGAGUGCAGGAGAGGUAAGCGGAAUUCCUAGUGUAGCGGUGAAAUGCGUAGAUAUCAGGCGGAACACCAGUUGCGAAGGCAGCUUACUGGACUGUAACUGACGUUGAGGCUCGAAAGCGUGGGGAGCAAACAGGAUUAGAUACCCUGGUAGUC
rnacentral:rRNA from 1 species